UACACGUCUGUCUAGAUGGAGUUUGAUUGAUUCUGAUUGAGUCAGGCAGCAAGCUCUUCGCUACAUUCUGCUAAGAAGAUGGGUAGAGAACUUGGUCACCAUUAAAGAUAAUCAAUUUCAACCGCUGGCCGUCCAUCAAAAUUUGUAACAAGCCCCACGGGGCGUUUGCACAGUAGAUGAAUUUCAGGACAGCCAUGGCUAGUGAUUUGAUUUGUCGAUUGGUUGGAUAAACAGCAGAAGGAACAGAAGCAGGAGGAAGAGCACAGAAGGAAGAGCAGGAGAAGCUCAGCGCAGCCACUAGCCGGCGAACGCGGGUUAACUGAAGGCUGACCACUUGGCGUGACGAAAUCAGUCAUUUAAAAAAAAGGAUCAGAAAUGCCCUAGCUUGGAUCCUUGGCAUAGCAAACAUACGCGGCGACACCAAAAAUGCUUCAUAGUACAAAAACAAUGUCUUUCAAGUACGCAUCUUAGAUAUUACAAUAUUAGUAGACUUCGGCAGAACCAUAACUCGUGAAUAUAAAGUUAAAUUUU
ensembl:ncRNA lncRNA:CR43863 long non-coding RNA:CR43863